GUGUAGCGGCCGCUGUCAUCUGUGGACGAGGUCUGGACACUGAGCACGCCGCUAUCAGCCUGCGCCGACCCCACGGGCUCGCCGUCGCGUUGCCACGUGAAGAGGGCCGGGGGCAGCGAGUCCGACAAGCAGAAGACGGUGAGACUCCGCGUGGCAGCAAGGGCGCUGACCUGGUUGCUGACUGUGCACGUGUAGUCUCCUGCGUCGGCCCGCUGGCCCGGGUUGAUGACCAGCGAGCCGCCGGCGAUGGUGAUCCUGCCGUCUUCGGUGACCGCAGCGCCGUCCUUUCCCCACUGGAAGGAGGGAUGGAGUGAACCUCCACAGCGAUGCUGAAAAAGUACACAUGAUGACACCAAGCCCAACGGAUACUCUUUGAAAUUCUGUUUUGAACAUGAAAUCCUGGAUGGCAAAGAACUUCCUCGACCUGACGUUUCAGUCAUCGGCCCUGAGGCCCAAAGAGAGAAGCUUUGUGGCGAAACAACAAGCACUGUCCUGAAUGCCUUCCCAUCUGGUGAAAAAGC